rnacentral:rRNA from 1 species
AGUGAACGCUGGCGGUAGGCCUAACACAUGCAAGUCGAACGGCAGCACAGUAAGAGCUUGCUCUUACGGGUGGCGAGUGGCGGACGGGUGAGGAAUACAUCGGAAUCUACUUUUUCGUGGGGGAUAACGUAGGGAAACUUACGCUAAUACCGCAUACGACCUACGGGUGAAAGCAGGGGAUCUUCGGACCUUGCGCGAUUGAAUGAGCCGAUGUCGGAUUAGCUAGUUGGCGGGGUAAAGGCCCACCAAGGCGACGAUCCGUAGCUGGUCUGAGAGGAUGAUCGGCGACACUGGAACUGGGACACGGUCCCGGCUCCUACGGGAGGCAGCAGUGGGGAAUAUUGGGCAAUGGGCGCAAGCCUGAUCCAGCCAUACCGCGUGGGUGAAGAAGGCCUUCGGGUUGUAAAGCCGUUUUGUUGGGAAAGAAAAGCAGCAGGUUAAUACGCAGCUGUUCUGACGGUACCCGAAGAAUAAGCACCGGCUAACUUCGUG